rnacentral:misc_RNA from 1 species
AAUUCUCAACCUUUCCAGCUUUUGCGAGCUUGGUCAGGCUUGGAUGUGGGGGUUGCGGGCUUCUCAGAAGUCGGCUCUCCUUAAAUGCAUUAGUGAAACCUUUGUUGAUCAUCUCUUGGUGUGAUAAUUAUCUACGCCAUGGGAGUGUCAGCCUCAACUCUGUUGAGAGGUUCUGCUUCUAAUUGUCCCUCUAGGGACAACUUCUGACC